rnacentral:rRNA from 1 species
CCUACGGGAGGCAGCAGUGGGGAAUAUUGCACAAUGGGGGCAACCCUGAUGCAGCGACGCCGCGUGAGUGAAGUCUUAAUUCGUUAUGUAAAGCUCUAUCAGCAGAGAAGAAAAUGACGGUACCUGAGUAAGAAGCCCCGUCUAACUACGUGCCAGCAGCCGCGGUAAUACGUAGGGGGCAAGCGUUAUCCGGAUUUACUGGGUGUAAAGGGAGCGUAGACGGCUGUGCAAGUCUGGAGUGAAAGGCUGGGGCUCAACCCCCGGACUGCUCUUGAAACUGUACGGCUGGAGUGCAGGUGAGGUAAGUGGAAUUCGUAGUGUAGCGGUGAAAUGCGUAGAUAUUACGAGGAACACCAGUGGCGAAGGCGGCUUACUGGACUGUAACUGACGUUGAGGCUCGAAAGCGUGGGGAUCAAACAGGAUUAGAUACCCGAGUAGUC